GCUCGUAGUUGGACUUGGGUUGGGUCGGCCGGUCCGCCAUCAGGUGUGCACCGGUUUACUCGUCCCUUCUGUCGGCGAUAGCGCUCCUACCCUUACUGGGCGGGUCGUGCCUCCGGCGUUGUUCUUUGAAGAAAUUAGAGUGCUCAAGCAAGCCUACGCUUCUGUAUACAUUAGCAUGGGAUAACAUCAUAGGAUUUCGGUCCUAUUACGUUGGCCUUCGGUCGAGUAAUGAUUAACAGGGACAGUCGGGGCAUUCGUAUUUCAUAGUCAGAGGUGAAAUUCUUGGAUUUAUGAAAGACGAACAACUGCGACUGCGAAAGAUUUGCCAAAGGAUGUUUUCAUUAAUCAAGAACAAAGUUGGGGGCUCGAAGACGAUCAGAUACCGUCCUAGUCUCAACCAUAACGAUGCACCAGGGAUCAGCGGAUUGUUGCUUUUAGGACUCCGCUGGCCCUUUGAGAAAAUCAAAGUUUUUC
rnacentral:rRNA from 11 species